CUAUCUGCAGUCGACGCUUUGUCUUUACUGAUCUGACGAGCUUGCUCUGAUUUGAUUUUAUCUGACAAAGAGUGGCGAACGGGUGAGUAACACGUGGGUAACCUACCUCUUAGCAGGGGAUAACAUUUGGAAACAAGUGCUAAUACCGUAUAAUACCAACAACCGCAUGGUUGUUGGUUGAAAGAUGGUUCUGCUAUCACUAAGAGAUGGACCCGCGGUGCAUUAGCUAGUUGGUAAGGUAACGGCUUACCAAGGCAAUGAUGCAUAGCCGAGUUGAGAGACUGAUCGGCCACAAUGGGACUGAGACACGGCCCAUACUCCUACGGGAGGCAGCAGUAGGGAAUCUUCCACAAUGGGCGCAAGCCUGAUGGAGCAACGCCGCGUGUGUGAUGAAGGGUUUCGGCUCGUAAAACACUGUUAUAAGAGAAGAACGGCACUGAGAGUAACUGUUCAGUGUGUGACGGUAUCUUACCAGAAAGGAACGGCUAAAUACGUG
rnacentral:rRNA from 1 species